GACGAACCGAGCGAACGUUGUUCGGAAUCACUGGGCUUAAAGGGCGCGUAGGCGGGUGCUCAAGUCCGUGGUGAAAUCCUCCGGCUCAACCGGAGAACUGCCUCGGAUACUGGGCGUCUCGAGUGUGGUAGGGGUAUGCGGAACUAUCGGUGGAGCGGUGAAAUGCGUUGAUAUCGAUAGGAACUCCGGUGGCGAAGGCGGCAUACUGGACCACCACUGACGCUGAUGCGCGAAAGCCAGGGGGGCAAACGGG
rnacentral:rRNA from 1 species